rnacentral:lncRNA from 1 species
GAGUUUUAGAUUGAGGUUUAAACAUUCGUCUAUCAAGAAAUGCAAAUUAACUGAAAUGAAAUUUUAUUGAGAGAAAAAAAAACGAAAAUGAAAAAUAAUGAAAAAGUAAAAGAAAAACCCGUUGAAGGCACAUCAGUGUAAACUAACGGACUUCAAAAAACAUAACAGAAAAUCAAUAGGCAAGAGCAUCAUCGUCAGAAAGAUGAGAAUCCAUGAUGUCCCCCCAACAUUGAGAAGAGACCGCCGUCAUCGCAAGACCGGCAGCAUCCCC